UGGGGAAUAUUGCACAAUGUGCGGAAGCCUGAUGCAGCGACGUCGCGUGGGGGAUUAAGGCCUUCGGGUUGUAAACUCCUUUCGACAGGGACGAAGCUUUUGUGACGGUACCUGUAUAAGAAGCACCGGCUAACUACGUGCCAGCAGCCGCGGUAAUACGUAGGGUGCGAGCGUUGUCCGGAAUUACUGGGCGUAAAGAGCUCGUAGGUGGUUUGUCGCGUCGUCUGUGAAAUUCCGGGGCUUAACUCCGGGCGUGCAGGCGAUACGGGCUGACUUGAGUGCUGUAGGGGAGACUGGAAUUCCUGGUGUAGCGGUGAAAUGCGCAGAUAUCAGGAGGAACACCGAUGGCGAAGGCAGGUCUCUGGGCAGUAACUGACGCUGAGGAGCGAAAGCAUGGGUAGCGAACAGG
rnacentral:rRNA from 1 species